GACAGAGGUGCCAAGCGUUAGGCGGAAUCACUGGGCUUAAAGCGUGUGUAGGCGGGUGCCUAAGUACCUUGUGAAAUCCCCCGGCUCAACCGGGGAACGGCUGGGUAUACUGGGCGCCUUGAGCCAGCUAGGGGUCGCCGGAACAAGUGGUGGAGCGGUGAAAUGCGUAGAUAUCACUUGGAACGCCAACGGUGAAAACAGGCGACUGGGGCUGUGCUGACGCUGAGACACGAAAGCGUGGGGAGCAAACAGG
rnacentral:rRNA from 1 species